rnacentral:lncRNA from 1 species
AAUGUUUUAUGAAUACAUUCUUUUACUUUACAGGGUCAUUCUGUUUUGCUUCUCACCUAAAGACUGGAUAUAAGGGAAAUGGCCAUCUCCCCCUCUCCACCUCCUUCCUUACCAUUUUCUGUGGAGUCCUCCCUAUCUCACUGUAAGCUUCCCUAGGCACGGAUUAGUGUUUAUUCUAACAAGUAGCAUGAGGAAAAGGAGCACCUAAGGAGCCCCCCCCCAGGUUGCUGGUUGGGUGACUGGUUAUAUGGGAUGAGAGUGGAAGGUAGGAGGAUGGAGGUGUUGGUUAGAGGAGAUAAUGAGCGCUUUCUCUAUUUGGGGGCAUGUUGCAUUUAAGGUGCUUGCAAUAUAACUAAGAAGCCAGCAGCCCUAAAAGAAAUAUCCAUUUUUGUGUUUAUUUAAAGAAGAAUCCGAAGGAUUCACUAGGAAAAUCGAUUGAGAUUUAAAAAUAAUAAUAAAAACGUUGCUCAGAAGCUUCCAAGGAGAAUAUAAGACCAGAUGUGGGACUUGCAUAAUUCUGGCAUCUUCCUGUGCGAGUCUGAUUUAUGUUUAUUUUCAGAAAAAUAACCCACACUCAGUUUGCUUCUCUCAGUUCUUACUUGCAGAAUCACUGGGAUCCAAAACCAGUUAUGUGGUCUUCUUGAUUGGAAUCCAAGCCAUCAUUUCCAGUCCUUGAAAAAAAGAAUCAAACUCGUUAGCUGUGGAGGAUUAUAAAACACAACCCCCUCAUUAUAUUGGGAACCGUUUCUUUGUUUUUAAGCUUGAACUGCCUUCAAAAGGAUUGUGACUGGGGAGAUAUUCCCAUUGCUUAUUUGCUUUUUAAAUUUAAGUUCACCUCCCAUUUCAAAUCUAUUAUCCCUACAGCUGCAAUUUUCGGACAUUGCUUUGGGGAUACUGGAUUGACCUUUUCAGCCUGGUCCCUGCCUCUCACGGCCCUCUAAGGCUUGAGAAUGCAUCCACAUAACUCAUUAGGCACAUACCUGAGGCUUACCUCCUGCUGCCUGCCUAAACUUGGGACAGUCUCUCUUCACAGCCUCCUUUCCCUUCUUUCUGUGAGAGGCAGAAAACAUUGAAGAGUUAGGACCUUGCUUAGGUAGGACCGUCCCAUUGCUUAUCAGCUUGUGUGAUAACAAAAAUCCAGAAACAAUCAGGUGCGCACUUCAGUGCACUGUACUGUAUGCUAAGUACUUUUACAUUCAUUACCUUAUUCCACCUGGGCCUUUAUCUUUGAAAUGUGUGAAUAAACAUCUAUUCAUCUUUCCUGCUUCACAUCCCCGUAAUGAUCCUGACUGAUGAAAGAGAGGAGAGCCCC